UGUAUUAAAUUUAUACCAAUUCCUAGCUACUGGCCUAGUAACUAAGAAUCUACAUUCAGUUGUAAUGCAUUAAUAAACAUAGGAUUAUAGAAGACAUUUACUAUGUAAUGCUACCUUUAAUUAAAGUAACUCAAUUUUCAAAGUAGUUUCACCAACUUUCCAUCUGAUUCCAACUCUAAAAGGUAGUAGGGACUGGAAUUAACAACUCCAGAUUACAGAUGAAACAUCAGACUCAGAAAGGUAAAGGAGCCGCUUCAGUAUCAAAAGGUCAGAAGCUUGUGAAUGAUGAAGCUGAAGGUAGGCCCAGAUAUGCUAACUCCUUGCCCAGUCCUCUUUCAAAAUGCCACUUUGCUCUUACAAUGCAUUAUGCUGGUAAGACACUCUGUGGAUGUAUCUGUAUAUCACAUAAUCACUGUCAGAAAAACAACCUCAAGUUCUCUUGAAUGACUUAAAGCUGACUUCCAGGCUGUAAUUCAGUGUUGUUAAGGGAUAAUGAGACCCACACAAAUGUGCUGACAGCACUAAACAAAAACAAUUUUCACCAGUACCUAGUAUGGAAAGGACUGCUGGCAGCACGUUGGCCUCUACUGUCCUACCUACACACACCUAUAAAGCAUCAGUCAGUCUCACCUCUGGCCUGUAUGCUUUGUGAAGAUGACCAAACAAGUUUGUUUAAAAUUUCUUUUUUAAGGAAAUCAUUAGGUAUAUUCAAAAGGGUCAUCCACUGUAUUGUUUAGAAUUUAAAUGUACCAAAUUUUUCUGUUCUAAAAAUGUCCGAUAAAUUCUAAAGUACUAGUUAACUAACGGUCAUCCAUUUUUUUUUUUUUUU